GGGCCCGUAGCUCAGUGGUUAGAGCAAUCGCCUCUUAAGCGAUUGGCCGGUGGUUCGAGUCCACCCGGGCUCA
rnacentral:tRNA from 1 species